UCUGCCUCAUACUUUUU
rnacentral:rRNA from 1 species